GACAGUUGACCAACACCAACAGAAGUGUUGCCAUAAGCCUUUUUGCUGGGAGACAUUGGGUGGACAGGGGAGAGGCACCCGAAGGCAACAGCUCUAAGGCAGCGGAGUGGGACCAACUGGGUGAGGGCAUCUCGGUGGACGUGGAGAUCCAAGCAUCCUUAGCGGACGUGCUCUGUUUGCGUUAGCCCAGAGAGGGGGGUUGUCCAUGCACCCACCCUCCCAAAGCAGAGGGUGAGCUGUGAGUCCUGCUGCUGACGAUCAGCCCAGCACCCAGGAGGGGCAGUGAGGGAGGAUCUUGCAAAUCCCCAAAAACAGGCAGCAGAAGGGAAGGGUGAGAGGGGCAGAACGAGUCCCGCCAUCCAAACAACUCCCUCUGAGCUUCACUCUUCCUGCAGAACUCAUAGAGGCCUGCUCGGUGCUGGCAGGCCUGCUCGGCGUGGGGGCAAUGCUCUGUGGGACCCUGUUGGUCCUGUACCUGUGGACGAGGUGUGGAAGACCGGCUCGACGCUCCCCAGACAAACCCCUUAGAGUGAAGACAGAGGACAGCGGGAUGUCAUCCGAGGCUUAAGCGGUCAUGUUCCUGGUGUCCAAGGCAAGGCUCCCUCAGGACCCCAGAAGACUUCAUUGGAGCCAGAAGAGCAGAGCCGUGGCUGCAAUGGUCAGCAGAGAGAAUCCCCUCUGGUCUCUGUGCCCCAUAGCCCCCAGCUCACCGCGCUGAGCCUCUGCGGGUCCCAGUUCCUCCAAGCAGAGCUGAAGUCCCUCAGUCUCCAAGCAAGGCCUUCUCAGAAUAACCCAUAUCUGGUCCUCUGGGUAGGCUCCAGAAUCCUAACUCCAGACUCCUCUUGUUCCCAGCCCCAUAGCCCCCUGUGAUUCCUGUAGCCCCCUGCAGUGGCAUCGAGUGCCAUCACCCUCACCACAUUCCCACCUUUUCCCCUAAUCUCCCAUGACCGCUUCUGGUCCCCAUGGAAGUGAGGAUUGCUGCCUGAUCCAGGAGCAAGGGAGCAGGGUGCUCUCCUGCACUGUGCAAAAAAACCACCUUUGUAAAACGAGGACUGUGCUUAAACACCCAUCCAGAACGGGGUGAAAAGUCCCUCACCCACUGUAUUUAUUCAAUCCACUUUCAAAUACCAGUAAAACCCUUAAACCUGAAA